UACAGAGGGGGCAAGCGUUGUUCGGAAUUACUGGGCGUAAAGGGCGCGUAGGCGGCCUGUUAAGUCGAACGUGAAAUCCCCGGGCUCAACCCGGGAACUGCGUCCGAUACUGGCAGGCUUGAAUCCGGGAGAGGGAUGUGGAAUUCCAGGUGUAGCGGUGAAAUGCGUAGAUAUCUGGAGGAACACCGGUGGCGAAGGCGCAUCCUGGACCGGUAUUGACGCUGAGGAGCGAAAGCCAGGGGAGCAAACGGG
rnacentral:rRNA from 1 species